GAUGAACGCUGGCGGCGUGCCUAAUACAUGCAAGUCGAGCGAACAGACGAGGAGCUUGCUCCUCUGACGUUAGCGGCGGACGGGUGAGUAACACGUGGAUAACCUACCUAUAAGACUGGGAUAACUUCGGGAAACCGGAGCUAAUACCGGAUAAUAUAUUGAACCGCAUGGUUCAAUAGUGAAAGACGGUUUUGCUGUCACUUAUAGAUGGAUCCGCGCCGCAUUAGCUAGUUGGUAAGGUAACGGCUUACCAAGGCAACGAUGCGUAGCCGACCUGAGAGGGUGAUCGGCCACACUGGAACUGAGACACGGUCCAGACUCCUACGGGAGGCAGCAGUAGGGAAUCUUCCGCAAUGGGCGAAAGCCUGACGGAGCAACGCCGCGUGAGUGAUGAAGGUCUUCGGAUCGUAAAACUCUGUUAUUAGGGAAGAACAAAUGUGUAAGUAACUAUGCACGUAUUGACGUUACCUAAUCAGAAAGCCACGGCUAACUACGUG
rnacentral:rRNA from 1 species